AAAAAAGCCUCUAGUGAGUGUUGUGGCGGCCCGUACCCUAAACCGACUCAGGUGGUCAGGUAGAGAAUACCAAGGCGAUCGGGUGAACUGUGGUUAUGAACUCGGCAAAUUGCCCCCGUAACUUCGGGAGAAGGGGGACCUCUGCUGGUGAUGGGCUUUACGUUCUGAGCUGGUGGGGGUCGCAGUGGCCAGGGGGAAGCGACUGUUUACUAAAAACACAGGUCCGUGCGAAGUCGUAAGACGAUGUAUACGGACUGACGCCUGCCCGGUGCCGGAACGUUAAGGGGACCGCUUAGCCAGCUUCGGUUGGCGAAGGUGAGAACUUAAGCGCCGGUAAACGGCGGUGGUAACUAUAACCAUCCUAAGGUAGCGAAAUUCCUUGUCGGGUAAGUUCCGACCUGCACGAAUGGCGUAACGACUUCCCCGCUGUCUCAACCACAGACCCGGCGAAGUUGCACUACGAGUAAAGAUGCUCGUUUCGCGCAGCAGGACGGAAAGACCCCGGGACCUUCACUACAGCUUGACAUUGGCGUUUGGAACGUCUUGUGUAGGAUAGGUGGGAGACUAGGAAGCUGUCACGCUAGUGAUGGUGGAGUCAUUGGUGAAAUACCACUCUGGUCGUUUUGAACGUCUAACUCCGGUCCGUGAUCCGGAUCGGGGACAGUGUCUGGUGGGUAGUUUAACUGGGGCGGUUGCCUCCUAAAGAGUAACGGAGGCGCCCAAAGGUUCCCUCAGCCUGGUUGGCAAUCAGGUGUUGAGUGUAAGUGCACAAGGGAGCUUGACUGUGAGACUGACAGGUCGAGCAGGAGCGAAAGCUGGGACUAGUGAUCCGGCAUCGGCGUGUGGAAGCGGUGUCGCUCAACGGCUAAAAGGUACCCCGGGGAUAACAGGCUGAUCUUCCCCAAGAGUCCAUAUCGACGGGAUGGUUUGGCACCUCGAUGUCGGCUCGUCGCAUCCUGGGGCUGGAGUAGUCCCAAGGGUUGGGCUGUUCGCCCAUUAAAGCGGUACGCGAGCUGGGUUUAGAACGUCGCGAGACAGUUCGGUCCCUAUCCGCUGCGCGCGCAGGAGACUUGAAGGGGGCUGUCCCUAGUACGAGAGGUCCGGGACGGACGAACCUCUGGUGUGCCAGUUGUACCGCCAGGUGCACGGCUGGUUGGCUACGUUCGGAAGGGAUAACCGCUGAAAGCAUCUAAGCGGGAAGCUCGCCUUGAGAUGAGGUCUCCCACCCCGUGAGGGGGUAAGGCUCCCGGUAGAUCACCGGGUUGAUAGGCCGGAGGUGGAAGCACGGUAACGUGUGGAGCUGACCGGUACUAAUAGGCCGAGGACUUGACCU
rnacentral:rRNA from 1 species